AGGCUGACGAGUGGCGAACGGGUGAGUAAUACRUCGGAACGUGCCCGAUCGUGGGGGAUAACGGAGCGAAAGCUUUGCUAAUACCGCAUACGAUCUACGGAUGAAAGCAGGGGACCCUCGGGCCUUGCGCGAACGGAGCGGCCGAUGGCAGAUUAGGUAGUUGGUGGGAUAAAAGCUUASCAAGCCGACGAUCUGUAGCUGGUCUGAGAGGACGACCAGCCACACUGGGACUGAGACACGGCCCAGACUCCUACGGGAGGCAGCAGUGGGGAAUUUUGGACAAUGGGCGAAAGCCUGAUCCAGCAAUGCCGCGUGCAGGAUGAAGGCCUUCGGGUUGUAAACUGCUUUUGUACGGAACGAAAAGUCYCGGGAUAACACCUCGGGACCAKGACGGUACCGUAAGAAUAAGCACCGGCUAACUACGUGCCAGCAGCCGCGGUAAKACGUAGGGUGCAAGCGUUAAUCGGAAUUACUGGGCGUAAAGCGUGCGCAGGCGGUUAUGUAAGACAGAUGUGAAAUCCCCGGGCUCAACCUGGGAACUGCAUUUGUGACUGCAUAGCUGGAGUACGGCAGAGGGGGAUGGAAUUCCGCGUGUAG
rnacentral:rRNA from 1 species